UCCUCGAUGGUCUAACGGUUCAUGAUUUCCGCUUGUCACCAUAAGGAACAAGCGCGGGAGACCUGGGUUCGACUCCCAGUCGGGGAG
rnacentral:tRNA from 1 species